GCCCUCAUAGCUCAGUGGUAGAGCGCAUCCUUGGUAAGGAUGAGGUCCGCAGUUCGACUCUGCGUGAGGGCU
rnacentral:tRNA from 1 species